GGAGUCCUGUGCAUUUUCUGUAUUUUUCAGAGUCGUACGAACGUGGAUUUACCUGCUCUAAACACGCUCUACACCUGUUGUCCGAACGGUUAUGGAAUGUUGGCUCUGAGGAUAUGUUUUGGCCUGGAUAUAACUUUUUGGAACUAUGGAAGUUGAAUUGCAAAUGGAUGUCAGGUGCUCUGACAAAACAUCACAGAUUCAGUUGGGAUAUGUGUUGAAGGAAAGCU